CGCGAUCGUCGCAGACGGCGGCACGGCUGUCGCGGUGCAGGCGGACGUUGCCGAUCCGGCGGCGGUAGCCGCGCUGUUCGACGCAGCCGAGCACGC
rnacentral:tRNA from 1 species